rnacentral:rRNA from 1 species
UACGUAGGGGGCAAGCGUUGUCCGGAUUUAUUUGGGCGUAAAGAGCGUGUAGGCGGCCAGGUAGGUCCGUUGUGAAAACUCGAGGCUCAACCUCGAGACGUCGAUGGAAACCAUCUGGCUAGAGUCCGGAAGAGGAGAGUGGAAUUCCUGGUGUAGCGGUGAAAUGCGCAGAUAUCAGGAGGAACACCGGUGGCGAAGGCGGGUCUCUGGGCCGAUACUGACGCUGGAGGAGCGAAAGCGUGGGGAGCAAACAGG